GAUGAAGAACGCAGCGAAAUGCGAUAAGUAGUGUGAAUUGCAGAAUUCAGUGAAUCAUCGAAUCUUUGAACGCACCUUGCGCUCUUUGGUAUUCCGAAGAGCAUGCCUGUUUGAGUGUCAUGAAAAUAUCAACCUUGACUUGGGUUUUGUGCUCUAGUCUCGGCUUGGAAUUGGGUGCUUGCCGCUUUUACGAGCGGCUCACCUUAAAUGUAUUAGCUGGAUCUGUCUUUGAGACUUGGUUUGACUUGGCGUAAUAAGUAUUUCGCUAAGGACAUUCUUCGGAGUGGCCUCGUUUCUAGGACGCUUGUCCGCUUUCCAAUACAAGUUCCACCUCGUGGACAUGACUUUUUAUUAUCUGGCCUCAAAUCAGGUAGGACUACCCGCUGAACUUAAGCAUAUCAAUAAGCGGAGGA
rnacentral:misc_RNA from 1 species